GCAUAUCAAUAAGCGGAGGAAAAGAAAAUAACAAUGAUUCCCCUAGUAACUGCGAGUGAAGAGGGACAAGCUCAAAUUUUAAAUCCAUCGGGUUUUACCCGAUCGAGUUGUAAUUUGAAGAGGCGUUUUCUGUGUUUCUGAUCAGUCCAAGUCCUUUGGGAUAAGGCAUCAUGGAGGGUGAGAAUCCCGUCCGGUUGAUCAGAUUCGCUUUACGAUACGCUUUCUAAGAGUCAAGUUGUUUGGGAUUGCAGCUUAAAAUGGGAGGUAAAUUUCUCCUAAGGCUAAAUAACGGCGAGAGACCGAUAGCGAACAAGUACCGUGAGGGAAAGAUGAAAAGAACUUUGAAAAGAGAGUUAAACAGUACGUGAAAUUGUUGAAAGGGAAACGAUUGAAGCCAGUCGUACCUUCGGGUAAUCAGCCUUUCGGGUGCGAUUAUGUGGAGUGUGAGGAGCUUAAACACCUUCAUGUUUUGCAUAUUCGUACUCUUGGGUGUACUUGCCCGUGUGGUUGGUUAACAUCAAUUUUGGUGGUCAUAAAAUGACUGGAGGAAUGUAGCUUCGAUCUCGUAUUGAAGUGUUAUAGCCUUCGGUAGAUGUGAUGAUCGAGAUUGAGGAUUGCAACGGAUACCCUUCGGGGCUACCUGUCUGGUCUCUGAUCGUUGCUCUGGUGCCGAAAGCUUGCUUACGGUUAUCAAAGUCGAUGGUCAAUAGGUUAGAACGGGUUAAAUUCGUUAAGGAUGUUGACGUAAUGGCUUUAAACGACCCGUCUUGAAACACGGACCAAGGAGUCUAACAUAUAUGCGAGUGUUAGGGUGAUUAAACCCUUACGCGUAAUGAAAGUAAUAUUGGUGGGAACACUUUUGUGCACCAUCGACCGAUCAGGAUAUUUUUUGAUAGAUUUGAGUAAGAGCA
rnacentral:rRNA from 1 species